UUAAGUUCAGCGGGUAUCCCUACCUGAUCCGAGGUCAAAGUAAAAAAAGAGCUUAUGGAAGGGGGCUUGUUGAAAUCGCUUGCAAUGUGCUGCGCACGAAGCCAACAUACCGGCUGCCAAUGAAUUUAAGGCGAGUCCACGCAUUGAGGCGGAACAAACACCCAACACCAAGCAGAGCUUGAAGGUUUAAAUGACGCUCG
rnacentral:misc_RNA from 1 species